UCAGAACGAACGCUGGCGGCAUGCCUAACACAUGCAAGUCGAACGAAGCCUUCGGGCUUAGUGGCGCACGGGUGAGUAACACGUGGGAACCUGCCUUUCGGUUCGGAAUAACGUUUGGAAACGAACGCUAACACCGGAUACGCCCUUCGGGGGAAAGUUUACGCCGAGAGAGGAGCCCGCGUCCGAUUAGGUAGUUGGUGAGGUAACGGCUCACCAAGCCGACGAUCCGUAGCUGGUCUGAGAGGAUGAUCAGCCACACUGGGACUGAGACACGGCCCAGACUCCUACGGGAGGCAGCAGUGGGGAAUAUUGGACAAUGGGCGCAAGCCUGAUCCAGCAAUGCCGCGUGAGUGAUGAAGGCCUUAGGGUUGUAAAGCUCUUUCGCACGUGACGAUGAUGACGGUAACGUGAGAAGAAGCCCCGGCUAACUUCGUGCCAGCAGCCGCGGUAAU
rnacentral:rRNA from 1 species